rnacentral:lncRNA from 1 species
GACAUAUGAUCAUGAAAAUUAUGGUCACAAUAAUUUCUUUAGUGGAAUUUGACAUAUGCUCUAAGUGAGUUAGAGUAUGCUAGUUGAUCAUAUCAUAGGAGAAUCUAUAAGUCAAGGAUUGGAAAGGUAAUCUUGAGAGGUUUAUAGCACAUGCCUUAUUAGAUUACAUACAUUAAUUCAUGAGGAGUUUACAAGUAGUGGAUAGUAGAUCACAAACUUGAAUUCUU